GAUGAACGCUGGCGGCGUGCCUAAUACAUGCAAGUCGAGCGAACGGACGAGAAGCUUGCUUUUCUGAUGUUAGCGGCGGACGGGUGAGUAACACGUGGAUAACCUACCUAUAAGACUGGGAUAACUUCGGGAAACCGGAGCUAAUACCGGAUAAUAUUUUGAACCGCAUGGUUCAAAAGUGAAAGACGGUCUUGCUGUCACUUAUAGAUGGAUCCGCGCUGCAUUAGCUAGUUGGUAAGGUAACGGCUUACCAAGGCAACGAUGCAUAGCCGACCUGAGAGGGUGAUCGGCCACACUGGGACUGAGACACGGUCCAGACUCCUACGGGAGGCAGCAGUAGGGAAUCUUCCGCAAUGGGCGAAAGCCUGACGGAGCAACGCCGCGUGAGUGAUGAAGGUCUUCGGAUCGUAAAACUCUGUUGUUAGGGAAGAACGUAUGUGUAGGUAACUGUGCACGUCUUGACGGUACCUAAUCAGAAAGCCACGGCUAACUACGUG
rnacentral:rRNA from 1 species